rnacentral:rRNA from 1 species
AUUGAACGCUAGCGGGAUGCCUUACACAUGCAAGUCGAACGGAGCGGCGGACGGGUGAGUAAUGUAUAGGAACGUGCCUAGUAGUGGGGGAUAACUACGCGAAAGCGGAGCUAAUACCGCAUACUAUUGGAGCGGCCGAUAUCGGAUUAGCUAGUUGGUGGGGUAAAGGCCCACCAAGGCGACGAUCCGUAGCUGGUUUGAGGGGACGACCAGCCACAAUGGGACGUAGACCAGGCCCAGACUCCUACGGGAGGCAGCAGUGGGGAAAUUUGGACCAUGGGGGAAACCCGUGUCCCACCAUCCCGGGUUGGCGAUGAAGGCCUUCGGGGUUUAAAGCACUUUUGGCAGGAGAGCGGUACCUGCAGAAUAAGCACCGGCUAACUACGGGCCAGCCGCCGGGGUAAUAC